GGCAGUGAUGAGAGAAGAAAACUCAAAUCCAGAAAGGAUGCCAUGCCGAAGCACAUUUGGACAACCUGCAUGGUUAUCCCCAAAGCUUAUCUGCGACUCCACCGUCUCAGCUCGAUCUUCCAACCCUCCUCAGAGGUUUCUUCCCUCCUUUUUCUCCGAUGAUUCGAGCUCCGAACACGAAGGGGCCUUGCACAUGGACGGCAGCUAUGGUCUCUUCCGUCUCUCAUCUCUCGAGAGAGGCACCAGAGCAACGCCC
rnacentral:sRNA from 2 species